CAUCUGCUUUGGGGCUGUUUUCACCCCUUUCAUCUGAAAAUGUGAAAAAAAAUCAGGUGGGAGGCUUUGUGCUCCUCCGUGACCACUCAAAUUUGUUUUGGUCCGCAUGUAGUAUCAUUAUGCAGUAUCUCACAGAUGCAUAAUGCAUCACUUUGGAUUGUAUCCUGCAUAUCACGGCUUGGCUUUUUUUUGGCCUAAAACCUACUUGCUUCAUCUCUGAUGGGAGAGUCCUCUUUCAGUUUAACUGUGAUAAUUGACCUGGCAUCUACUGAUACAGAAAAUAUUAUACUUUGUAUCGUAUCUGCGAUCACAAAUUCUACCAUAAGUUCUAUCAGAUACUAAAUCCUAUUUAUUUUGCACUACUAAAAGCUUCAUUAUGUUUGGAACAUCAGCCAUACGUACUUUGUAUGCUGUUGUUUGUGCAAUCUAUUUCAUGCAACCUCUUUUAAUUACAUGUUUGUGCAACCUAUUUCAUGAAACCCUACCAUAUUGUUGUUGUUUGUCCAACCUGUUUCAUGCAGCCUCUUUGAAUUAAAUGCUUCCUAUCAUGUACAGCAAAAAGGCUCCUCAUUGAUGAAAUGAAAAUAUUCAUCUGUACUUUUCUUGGAAUUCUAACUAUGGAUCCCGUAGUGAUAUCUUUUAUACCAUUAUUAAUGUGAUUUCCUUUCUCAGAAUUUUUUGUUAACAUGAAUUUUAGUUAGACCCAUAAUUUUCAAGAAGACGAGAAACAUUGUUUUUAUUUUCCAAAAAAUAAAGGCAUUGAAAAGCUUGUUUCAUUUUUCAUUUUUCUUCCAAGAUGAACAAUUAUCAGGUUCUAUCCUCCUUUUGUUUUAUAUAGUCUGAUAGUAGUAAAUUGGAAAACUAAAAGGUUCUGAGAACUAGCCAGUACUUAUGUUCUGAUAUUUAUCUACAAUAUUGUAUUAUUUUAUUUCAUUAUUAGCGAAAUUGUCUGCCCCUGUAAUAUCUCAGUUACUCUCUUGCAUCUUGCAGCACUGCAAUACAUGUUUAAUCUUUUGACGAGCUGUGGUGAUAUCGCUCCCUCCCUCUCUUUUGUUUGAACUGUGUAUAUCACUAACUUAUCUGCUCUUUCAGGUAUGUUAGAAGUUCUAUUGAAAGAUGCUCUUUAACAAAUUUAUCUGAACCCACAGAUCUGGACUUUUUAAGUUACAAAGUACAAAGAGAACUUCAUUUGUUUUUGACACAGUAUUUUGAGACCGAUGGGAAACUGCUACCAAUAGUGUGUCCUAAGAUCAUUGACAUUGUACGCCUGUUCUAUCCAUAAAAGUUAGAUUCUAGGUCUUCUAAGCCUGUACUAUAGCUGGUUACUGAACAAGUGACUGGAGAGAGACCACAUAUAGAAGAAAUUCGGAAGAUCCGUGUUCUCUUGAGUCUUGCAGAAAUGAGCUUAAAGUAAGUACUCUGAACUACUCAUUUAGUGAUACUUUACAAGUGUAAAGGUAUGAAUAUACGUGACAAAGAAAUUUACGAUACUCCGGUUGUACUCUACAGGUAUAUACAUCUUUUUUUUGGAGAAUGCCAGGUAGAUAUACAUCUCUUAUUAAGUAUGUGAAAACAUGGCUCUGUUUUACAUAAAUGAAAAGUAACUUCCGCUUCAGGCUUACAGUACUUUGAGGAAUUAUACCAAGUCAAAUAAAAUGUAUUUCCCUAAUAAGAACUUCUGCUUAUGCUUGCCAGGCUUGGAAGCUCUGUCAUCCUGAUGUUGGACAUGCAUUUCAAUAUUUCAGGAAGGUUGGCAUUAAACUGAUGCUCUUUCCGAUUAUGAUACCCGUCAACGACCACUUCUACAGGUCUUGAAAUGUAAUCACUGGUUUGAUGCGGUUUGCCGUGUCUGCUGAGCUGAAACGUCUGCAGGGAGGCUUCAGUUAGAUUCAGAUAUGGUGUUUCACCUGCAGAUGAGCAGGACAUCUCAUGCACCGAGACAUUGGAAGAAAUACAAACCACCUUGAUAGUGGAUCUUAUCCGGAGGGAGCUGUCGCUGACGCUCCAGUGUACAGCAACUAUCAAGCUUGGUUCUAAGCCUUUAGCUGUACCUACCUUAAUUUGGAGACAUUUCAGGUGUUAAAGUUGGUUGUAGCUAGCUUUGUUCGGAGUUGUAUUUCCUUGCUAGCUUGUAGCAAGCUAUUUGGUGUUUAAUGCUUACUUUGGUCGGCAUUCAGGUAGGCUAGAGAAUACCGGCACACGGAGGAAAUCUACAAUAUUCUCCGAUUUGGGGAUUACUCUGAGGUGCAGAAUUUACCAAAUAGAACAACUAUGCAAAUGGUUUAGUCCCUUUUGGAGCCUUUGUCGAUUAAUGUUUGAAACAACUGCCCCAUAAUAUUCAUAUAAGUUCUGGUGUGGUCAUCUGUCUCAUCGCUGCAAUUGGGAAAUUAUCUUCUUGGGAAAUUUAUGGAUAUGGUACAAAACAAUAGAUGCUCCCACUUUGAGUGUAAAAAUUCCGAGCAUAUAUAUCUUGCUAGAUUAUACUUUUAGAGAAAUAGUUUGAAAGGGGAAUCAUUCCAGUGAGCAAGAGAAAUCUCCUGUAAAAAUACAAGUGUCGUGAGUUUUCUAUACCAUAGCUUGUUCAGUGUAUCUGUUUUGUAUAGUAAUAAUUAUUGCAAAAUUUUGAGGAUUUGCAAAGUUCUCAUA